rnacentral:rRNA from 1 species
CGUGGGUAACCUGCCCAAGAGACUGGGAUAACACCUGGAAACAGAUGCUAAUACCGGAUAACAACACUAGGCGCAUGUCUAGAGUUUAAAAGAUGGUUCUGCUAUCACUCUUGGAUGGACCUGCGGUGCAUUAGCUAGUUGGUAAGGUAACGGCUUACCAAGGCAAUGAUGCAUAGCCGAGUUGAGAGACUGAUCGGCCACAUUGGGACUGAGACACGGCCCAAACUCCUACGGGAGGCAGCAG